rnacentral:rRNA from 1 species
AUGGCCGAACCAAUAUCUUCCUGCAGAUUGGAAGUCGAUGACGAGAUGGACAUACGCAUAUCGGCCGAGGAACUUCUUCCGGAGCUCGAAUCCUACGUGCAGGUGCUCAAAGAAGUGAAGGCAGGCAGACACACGAUCAACUUCCACUCCAAGACGCGUAUUCAAGAGUUGUCGGUAAUGUGCCGCAAAAUAAAUGAAGCGAUUCGUAGCAUGCACAUUCUUCCCCGCAGCCCUGCUGGCAUCCAGCAUGGUGAUCAGCACAUGGAGCUGGAGGUGAACAAGCAGAAGCAGACGAUGGAGGACGAUAUGGACUUAGGCGAAUCGGCCCAAGAAUUAACCAUGGAGGAGGUCAUGGCGGCCGAGGAAGAGGAUUUCGCUUCCUACAGAAGUGGCUGGGAAUCUAGAUGGGGAUCCAAGGGGGGAUGCGGCUUCUUCAAAGGCACGAUUCUUGUUAGAUUUCUAACGCAUUCUUCACUUUGGUGCUUCCAUGCAACGCAAUUGAGUUCCAUGCGCUUCACAUACUCGACACCUAAACCCAGCUUAGACGAUGGUAUCGUCGUGAAUACCUUGCAGAUCUUCUCCAUUAAACUCACAGAAAUUAAAGGCGGCUUCGAAUGGCCAUUGUCUGUGUAUGGUGUAGUUGUUGCCCGGGACCAUGUUGAUCACAAUCGCAACCUUCUCUUCCGUCGCAGUAGGGCAAGGACCCAAAUAGUCCGGCAAAACGAUCCUUUUUUGCACUUGAUUGGGCCAUCUCGUGCGAUCCUAUUCAAUGAUCCUGUUGACUUUGAAAUUCAGCUAAAAGUUAAAUGUGGAGCCAUGUCUAGAGAUAGAGAAUUGAUCAGCAAGACGCACUGUUAUCGUGCACGUCAUCAUGGUGUGCAUACCGUUUGCUUUGAGAACCGCUUAUGUAAAAUAGAGUUGUGCAUGGAGCUGCUUGUGGCGACAAUCCAGGCCACAAUCUGCAGCAUCCGUGUUGUUAAACAGGGGAUACGGCAGCGUGUUGAACGUCGAUGCCGAGUAGCUUGCUCGACAGCACCCUACUCACGCAAGAUCAUCAACGGUAAAACCACUUAUGUUGCUAAUGCCUCAUCUGGUGAAGUCGUGCUGCUUGAUCCUGGUAGACAUGCAACACCUGAAGGUUCGGAAGGUUACCUUGAUCUGUCAAGGCGUGUGGUGUCUGUAGAACAUGAAGAAGGCAACCUGGAACUCGUCGUACAGGCCUACUCAUCAUCCGGAGAUAUCACUGCACAAGGGCACGUCUCCUUGGCACCCAGAUCUUUUGGCUUCAGUCAGAAGAAAUUCUAUGUUGAUGAUGCUGUGCUAGAGAUUACCGUUGCUUGGUCUUUCCUUGUAGCAAACAAGGAUACUCUUGUGAGACCUGUGGGUUUUUGA